CUAGCUAAAUCAGUCAAAACCAAAAAAUUAGGAGGCUUGUCCCGUCGCCGCCGCCAUCCAUCUUCCUCGGGAUCCCCAUCGCUCAAAUCCCACGCUAUCUCUGUUUCCCCACCGAGCCAAUCCCCUCCACCUCGCAGCAGCCAGCCCCGCGCCUCCCUUCUCCUGCGGGGACGCGUCCCCGCCACGGCAAGCCACAACAGCCAGGACCCGGGAGCCUCGCGCCCACAGCCAGGUGCUGCACCUCGAGCUCCUGAGCGUGCUGCCCGACCCCGCCGACUCCUCCGACCGGCCGGCCGCUGAGCCGCCGGAGCCGCAACAGCCAGUCACCGGCGCGACCGCCGCCUUGACCUCCCAGCACCGCAAGGCCCGUGGCCUCCUUCUCUUCCCUCUCUCACUUGUUCUCCCUCUCACGCAUCCCUCUCUCUGUUGGAUAUGCGCAGGAGCUGUCCUGUCAUGGGCGCGUCCUGCGCGAGCUUGCAGGUCGCCGCCGAAGCUCCUGGGCGGCCGUGUGAUGUCGGGAAUCGGUCCCUGCCGCCCGGAUCCUCCCGUCCCCAUUGUGGAUCUGGAUCCCCACGUCCUCCUCGUGUCGCCUGAGCCCGGAGCCGCCACCACGAUUGCAGCUAGGCCGACCCUGUUUCACCUGGUGUUCGUGAGGUACAACAAGGCGUUGUUCUGUUUUCAGUUUCAGAUCCGCGGUAGUGUUGUUUCUCAUAGUUAAAGCUCCAUUGUUUGACGCAAAUACUUGGUAGCUGAGUUGGUCAUCGUCGCUCUAUGUAAAUGAUGGGUCUGGUGUUCAAAUCCCAUGCACCCUGAUUUUCCUGCACACUUGCAUGUGCCUUGUAGUGAGACUCAAGGGGUCCUGGGUUUGAAUCCUAGACACCCCAAUAUUUUGCUUUGUCUCAUUUUUAGAUUCAGAUUCGCAUCAGCAUAAUUUCAUAUAGUGUGAACCUUGGUUUUGUCACAAGCGCUUUGUAGACGACUGGUUGGUGCCUUGACUUCCUCAAGGGAGGUCCUGAGAUCGAAUCCCAGGGUAGCCCAAGCUGUUGCAAUUCGGCCUAUGCUUAUUUAUUUUUCCUUCAGCGAUUUCAUCAAUAACCUAGCCCUGCAUUGUUGUAUGAGUUACGAGUAGGUCCUUCUGUAGAUGCCAUGUUAGUUGCACGUACCCCAUAUUCAUGCCUCCGGUACAUGGGAACCUAGUAACCAUGAUCAUCCCAUCAUUCUUUGGCAUGACACACACACUCUCAAUUCGUUUGCACCGGUAUCUGAUGCUUAUUUAUUUUUCCUUCAGCGAUUUCAUCAAUAACCUAGCCAUGCAUUGUUGUAUGAGUUACGAGUAGGUCCUUUUGUAGAUGCCAUGUUAGUUGCACGUACCCCAUAUUCAUGCCUCCGGUACAUGGGAACCUAGUAACCAUGAUCACCCCAUCAUUCUUUGGCAUGACACACACUCUCUCAAUUCGUUUGCACCGGUAUCUGACACGCACACACUCCCAAUUCGUUUGCACCGGUAUCUUGUCGAGUUAUCGGAACCGGAACGCUAUUGUGGUUGUCAUUUGCAUGCAUGUUGCAUCCAUGUCAUAUGAUCUUGUGUUUCUCGUAUCUAGUUAACCAACUAGAAUGACGUGUAGAAUCACAUGCUUCACCUCUUGUCAUGUUUAAACAACAUUUAAUAUUGCCAUGUAUCUAAAAGGGAGUGAACUAAAUAAUUUGUAUGUGAAGUUUCAUCAAAAUGUAACUCGUUUCAUGUUGAACUCCGCUUAAUGUGUAGUGUUUGAUUGUUGUGAAUAGCCAUGCCAUGCCUUGCAUAAUUGAACCGAUCAUGCAUCAUAUUAGGGGGUGCAUCAUAUCGUGCAUGUGACAUGGUGAAUAUCGUGUGUUGAUUCUUGUCUCCAGUUUGCUUCUUCUCGUUAGAGUUCCGCAAGCGUGUCGGAAUGUGAGGAUCCGUUCGACUACGUCGGUUCGUUUGCUUCACAGAUUCGUUCUUCGUCCAAGUGGGAUCACACGCAAGACGAUCAUUUCCCUAGAUACCAUUACUAUUAAUGCCGUGCUAGUUGUCUCAUUUCUUUCAUUAUGUCUCGUUGUCUACCACCUAUUAAAUGUCAGCCUCUCAACAUUGCCAUGGAACCUUCAACUUCUACAACCUUGCAAACCACUGUUUGGCUAUAUUACCGCUUGCUUAACCAUGUGUUAGCGUUGCUAGUUGCAGGUGUCGUUGCUUCCAUGUGGUAACAUGGGUUUCUUGUUAUAUCAUCAUAUUAUUGCUAAUUAAUUUAGCAGACCUAUAUACUUGGUAAAAGGUGGAAGGCUUGGCUUUCUAGCCUAGUGUUUUGUUCCACCUUUGUUGCCUCAGUUUCGGCUACCGCUGUUAUAUUCCACAAUUGAGCGCUCCUAACACGAUCAGAGUUGUUAUGGGAACCCCCUUGAUAAUUCGUCUUAGAUUAAAACUGGUCUGGCAAGACCCAACUUUGGUACUAUAUUUGCCUAAUUAACUAAUGAACCACAAAGGGUUUGAUCACCCCGUGGAUAAUUAAUCAACCCCCACGCGAGUGCUCCUCAAGAGUGUUGGUCCAAACUAGAGUCGUGUGCGGGGCCAACCCGGGGCAACUCAUGAGAUCUCUAUCACGCCACUGUAUGCUGCGCUCAUCCGGUCGUGUCCUGAGAACGAGAUACGCGACUCCUAUAAGGUUCGUCGACACGUCGGGCGGCCUUGCUGGACUUUUUUUUUACCUUUUACGAAAUAUCUUGUUCAUCGGGAUUCCGGUGAUGCUUUAGGUUAUCUCAGAGUUGAGGUUUUCCACUAAGGAAUCCGAGGAGAUCAUGAGUCUCGUGAUCGAGGCUUUCUAUGUGGCUUGUGGUAGUUUGUGAUGGAUUAGUUGGAGCACCCCUCCAGGGUUAAAUAUUUCAGAACGCCAUGCCCGCGGUUAUGUGGCAACGUGGAAACUUUGUUUAACAUCUGCUUCUAGAGAACUUGAAGUAAGGUUAAUUAAAAUAUGCCAACUUUGUGCGUAUUCGUGACUGUCUCUCUCGUGAGUUCCUUUCUCCGACUGAGGACAUGGUGGGGUUAUGUCUGACGUAAGUAGGUGUUCAGGGUCAUUCAUUUGAUCAUCAUUAAUUCAUGUCUAUUAUGCGUAGGUCAUCCCCCUCUUAUUCUUGUACUCGUAAGUUAGCCAUCUCAAAUAAAUGUUUAGUCACUUGCUGCACCCUCACCACUUAACCAUAUCUCACACAUUAAGCUUUGCUAGUCUUAGAUACAUUUGGAACUGAGAUUGCUGAGUUCCCUGUGGCUCACAGAUUACUACAACACCAGUUGCAGGUACAUGUAAAGUGAUAUUAAGACGUCAGCGCGAUGUUGUGCUAUUUGGAGUUUCUUCUUCAUCAUCGAUCUCGGAUUGGUUCCAGGCCGGCAGCCUGGGAUAGCAAGGAUGGACAUCGUUCUUUUAUUGUUUGUUCUCGUCCGUAGUCGGACCCUGCUCUUCCUCAUGAUGAUUGUAUAUUGUUGUAUUGAUGUGAACUUGAUGUAGCUUGUGGCGAGUGUAAGACAAUUCCAUAUACUCAUCUAUUCUGUACAUGUAAUUGUAACGAUAUCCAUUAUUACAAAACGACGAGAUGCGCUUCUAUCCGUGUCGAGGCCCUCGUGCCAAAAUAAGGAUAGGGUCGCAUCUUGGGUGUGACAAUUAGUUGCAUCAAUUUGAGUUCUUCACGGUGAUACAUGUAAGUGAAAUUUGAGAAGAUUAUUACUCUUGGGUGUUUGGGCACCCUAGAGCUUGUGACUCUUGGAUGAUUUGGCGCCCUAGAUGGUUGGUGGUGUCUCGGAG
rnacentral:lncRNA from 1 species